rnacentral:rRNA from 1 species
CCUACGGGAGGCAGCAGUGGGGAAUAUUGCACAAUGGGCGCAAGCCUGAUGCAGCGACGCCGCGUGAGGGAUGACGGCCUUCGGGUUGUAAACCUCUUUCAGCAGGGACGAAGCGCAAGUGACGGUACCUGCAGAAGAAGCACCGGCCAACUACGUGCCAGCAGCCGCGGUAAUACGUAGGGUGCAAGCGUUGUCCGGAAUUACUGGGCGUAAAGAGCUCGUAGGCGGUUUGUCGCGUCGUCUGUGAAAACCAGCAGCUACAACUGUUGGCUUGCAGGCGAUACGGGCAGACUUGAGUAUUUCAGGGGGAGACUGGAAUUCCUGGUGUAGCGGUGAAAUGCGCAGAUAUCAGGAGGAACACCGGUGGCGAAGGCGGGUCUCUGGGAAAUAACUGACGCUGAGGAGCGAAAGCGUGGGUAGCGAACAGGAUUAGAUACCCUGGUAGUCCACGCCGUAAACGGUGGGCGCUAGGUGUGGGUUUCCUUCCGACGGGUAUCCGUGCCGUAGCUAACGCAUUAAGCGCCCGCCUGGGGAGUCGGGCCGCGAAGGCUAAAACGUCAAAGUUAGUUAGUAGGCGNGAGAGNGCGACGACGACGACGACGGAGGAGG